rnacentral:lncRNA from 1 species
AGCAGACAGGCUCUAAGAACCCUGAAAGUGAAAGUGGUUCCCUUUCCCGUUUUGCAAACCCUGUGAGGUGAUGACAGCUCCCUGCAGAUAGGCCUUUAGCUGAUCAGAUUUCAGGGGCUCCUUUGGUUCCAAGGCCAAGUUCUCAUCCUGUGUCACAGCGGAGGGUUGGCUUAGAGGCGAGCCCAGAUGGCCAGGGUGAGUGUACAAAGGCUCCUCUCCCUGAAUCCUCCCCAUCGCCUCCUCAGGCAGCCGGAGGCCAGCUGCUCUCACGCGGGCCUGGUCUGGAAUUUAUUUCAACCUUUUCACAAGGACGAAUUCAUGAAAGAAACAUGGGGCAGUGUUUGGAAGGCUAUCAAGAUUUCUGAAACUUAUCAACAUGUUCAAUGAAAAUGAGCAGCGGGUUUGGACUCCCAACUGAAGAAAUCACAUUGUUUCAUCCUGUGCCUCUGUAAGUUAAUCA